UACGAAGGUCCCAAGCGUUGUUCGGAAUCACUGGGCGUAAAGGGAGCGUAGGCGGCGUGGUAAGUCAGAUGUGAAAUCCCGGGGCUCAACCCCGGAACUGCAUCCGAUACUGCCAUGCUAGAGGAUUGGAGAGGUAGCUGGAAUUCUUGGUGUAGCAGUGAAAUGCGUAGAGACCAAGAGGAACACUCGUGGCGAAAGCGAGCUACUGGACAAUUCCUGACGCUGAGGCUCGAAGGCUAGGGUAGCGAAAGGG
rnacentral:rRNA from 1 species